CCGGCGACCGGCGCACGGGUGAGUAACACGUAUGCAACCUGCCCUCCGCAGGGGGAUAACCCGGAGAAAUCCGGACUAAUACCGCGUGGUACAUCUGUGGGGCAUCCCACGGGUGUUAAAAGGAAGCGAUUCCGGCGGAGGAUGGGCAUGCGGCGCAUUAGCUAGUUGGCGGGGUAACGGCCCACCAAGGCGACGAUGCAUAGGGGUUCUGAGAGGAAGGUCCCCCACACUGGUACUGAGACACGGACCAGACUCCUACGGGAGGCAGCAG
rnacentral:rRNA from 1 species